UCGGGGGUACUCGAGCGGCGAACGGGUGAGUAACACGUGAGUAAUCUGCCCUGCGCUCUGGGAUAGCCACCGGAAACGGUGAUUAAUACCGGAUAGGACCACUUCACGCAUGUGAUGGUGGUGGAAAGUUUUUUCGGCGCAGGAUGUGCUCGCGGCCUAUCAGCUUGUUGGUGAGGUAACGGCUCACCAAGGCUUUGACGGGUAACCGGCCUGAGAGGGUGACCGGUCACACUGGGACUGAGACACGGCCCAGACUCCUACGGGAGGCAGCAGUGGGGAAUAUUGGACAAUGGGCGGAAGCCUGAUCCAGCAACGCCGCGUGAGGGAUGACGGCCUUCGGGUUGUAAACCUCUUUCAGUACCGACGAAGCGAAAGUGACGGUAGGUACAGAAGAAGGACCGGCCAACUACGUGCCAGCAGCCGCGGUAAUACGUAGGGUCCGAGCGUUGUCCGGAAUUAUUGGGCGUAAAGGGCUCGUAGGCGGUUUGUCGCGUCGGGAGUGAAAACACCGGGCUUAACUCGGUGCUUGCUUUCGAUACGGGCAGACUAGAGGUAUGCAGGGGAGAAUGGAAUUCCUGGUGUAGCGGUGAAAUGCGCAGAUAUCAGGAGGAACACCGGUGGCGAAGGCGGUUCUCUGGGCAUUACCUGACGCUGAGGAGCGAAAGUGUGGGGAGCGAACAGGAUUAGAUACCCUGGUAGUCCACACCGUAAACGUUGGGCGCUAGGUGUGGGGCCUAUUCCAUGGGUUCCGUGCCGUAGCUAACGCAUUAAG
rnacentral:rRNA from 1 species